UUUUGCCUAACUCGUUUAUACUUCGCAGUGACAUCAAGUUCCAGUUGUAGUUCCAGCUAUGUCAGUUUUUUAUGGUUAGAUUGUUUUUAAACAAAGUUUACAUUAAAGUCUAACAGUUACAGAGCUUCAGACAGAGCAAUGCCAACAACAUCACCCCAGGGAAUGGAGGGUAUUUUUUUAUUUUUUGCUCAACUCUUAUUCUGAAUUCAAUAUUAUGCUUUGUCUUUUUCUAUUGUAUGGAACUGCAAGUGACAUUUCCUAACUGGAGUUUCAGUUGGUGUCAGUUCCCGCUCAUUGCUGCGUGAACCUUUGCUCCCAUGGCAACAGAAAAAGCACUGUGGUGUGACUUUUAGCUCUAGAGGCGUCGAGCAGCUGUGAAGAUUGGCCCCUGUCCCCCUUGUUUGUGUCAGGAGACGUGAGGCACUUCUGGUCAGACCUGUAUUCUCUGGCUCAUACUCAUAAGCAGCAGAAGGACAGGUUUGAUGGACCUGUCAGAACACCUGUCAGAGCACCUGUUGGGGUACCUGCCGAUUCCCAGGACCACGAGCCAAAACGCUGUUCACAAGUCUGUCUGUGAAACCCAAAAACCUGAACGAAACUGGAUCGUGGCCAAAGGAAGAGAGCGGUGAAUGUAACUGACACAAGCAAAAUCACAACAACACAUCCUGGGAGAAAGGGGCAUGACUAAAAAAAAUCACAUGGGAACUAAACCAGUCCAACAUGGCUGAACCGAUUAUUGCUCAAUGAAUGAGUGAAUAAACUUAAUUACUAAUGUUCGUUCUCAGACAGUACAAUGAGCUGUCGUCCCUUCCUCAGAUGGAGCAAGAGCAUGUCUUGUUUUGUUUAUAUUCUUACACGAUAAAAUUAAAUAAAAUGGAUUGAACUUAAAUGAACUGAUACAGAGCCCUGGAUUGUGAAGUUACACAACAUUAAUUUUCAGUUAGCCUAAUGUUUAAACCAAUGGAGAUUUUACCUAGCCUGAUCCACCAGCCGGUUUCACUUCAUGGAAACAGUUUGACCUUGCAGCAUUGGGAUUCAUUCACUCAGUGGUAGUUGAGGUAGUUUUUUUAUUUAACCAAUCGCUGCUAUUUGGUCGUGGUGUGUGUAAUGCACCGGAACGCUCAGUGGUGUCCAUGUAAUUGCCGGCACACAG